rnacentral:ncRNA from 1 species
UCAGGAUGCUAAAGUAGCUACUGCCCACGGCACACACAGCGACUGGGGUGAAGUCGUAACAAGGUAACCGUAGGUGAACCUGCGGUUGGAUCACCUCCUUU